rnacentral:rRNA from 1 species
UCAAGAUGGUAAGGGCCCACGGUGGAUGCCUCGGCACCCGAGCCGAUGAAGGACGUGGCUACCUGCGAUAAGCCAGGGGGAGCCGGUAGCGGGCGUGGAUCCCUGGAUGUCCGAAUGGGGGAACCCGGCCGGCGGGAACGCCGGUCACCGCGCUUUUGCGCGGGGGGAACCUGGGGAACUGAAACAUCUCAGUACCCAGAGGAGAGGAAAGAGAAAUCGACUCCCUGAGUAGCGGCGAGCGAAAGGGGACCAGCCUAAACCGUCCGGCUUGUCCGGGCGGGGUCGUGGGGCCCUCGGACACCGAAUCCCCAGCCUAGCCGAAGCUGUUGGGAAGCAGCGCCAGAGAGGGUGAAAGCCCCGUAGGCGAAAGGUGGGGGGAUAGGUGAGGGUACCCGAGUACCCCGUGGUUCGUGGAGCCAUGGGGGAAUCUGGGCGGACCACCGCCUAAGGCUAAGUACUCCGGGUGACCGAUAGCGCACCAGUACCGUGAGGGAAAGGUGAAAAGAACCCCGGGAGGGGAGUGAAAUAGAGCCUGAAACCGUGGGCUUACAAGCAGUCACGGCCCCGCAAGGGGUUGUGGCGUGCCUAUUGAAGCAUGAGCCGGCGACUCACGGUCGUGGGCGAGCUUAAGCCGUUGAGGCGGAGGCGUAGGGAAACCGAGUCCGAACAGGGCGCAAGCGGGCCGCACGCGGCCCGCAAAGUCCGCGGCCGUGGACCCGAAACCGGGCGAGCUAGCCCUGGCCAGGGUGAAGCUGGGGUGAGACCCAGUGGAGGCCCGAACCGGUGGGGGAUGCAAACCCCUCGGAUGAGCUGGGGCUAGGAGUGAAAAGCUAACCGAGCCCGGAGAUAGCUGGUUCUCCCCGAAAUGACUUUAGGGUCAGCCUCAGGCGCUGACUGGGGCCUGUAGAGCACUGAUAGGGCUAGGGGGCCCACCAGCCUACCAAACCCUGUCAAACUCCGAAGGGUCCCAGGUGGAGCCUGGGAGUGAGGGCGCGAGCGAUAACGUCCGCGUCCGAGCGCGGGAACAACCGAGACCGCCAGCUAAGGCCCCCAAGUCUGGGCUAAGUGGUAAAGGAUGUGGCGCCGCGAAGACAGCCAGGAGGUUGGCUUAGAAGCAGCCAUCCUUUAAAGAGUGCGUAAUAGCUCACUGGUCGAGUGGCGCCGCGCCGAAAAUGAUCGGGGCUUAAGCCCAGCGCCGAAGCUGCGGGUCUGGGGGAUGACCCCAGGCGGUAGGGGAGCGUUCCCGAUGCCGAUGAAGGCCGACCCGCGAGGGCGGCUGGAGGUAAGGGAAGUGCGAAUGCCGGCAUGAGUAACGAUAAAGAGGGUGAGAAUCCCUCUCGCCGUAAGCCCAAGGGUUCCUACGCAAUGGUCGUCAGCGUAGGGUUAGGCGGGACCUAAGGUGAAGCCGAAAGGCGUAGCCGAAGGGCAGCCGGUUAAUAUUCCGGCCCUUCCCGCAGGUGCGAUGGGGGGACGCUCUAGGCUAGGGGGACCGGAGCCAUGGACGAGCCCGGCCAGAAGCGCAGGGUGGGAGGUAGGCAAAUCCGCCUCCCAACAAGCUCUGCGUGGUGGGGAAGCCCGUACGGGUGACAACCCCCCGAAGCCAGGGAGCCAAGAAAAGCCUCUAAGCACAACCUGCGGGAACCCGUACCGCAAACCGACACAGGUGGGCGGGUGCAAGAGCACUCAGGCGCGCGGGAGAACCCUCGCCAAGGAACUCUGCAAGUUGGCCCCGUAACUUCGGGAGAAGGGGUGCUCCCUGGGGUGAUGAGCCCCGGGGAGCCGCAGUGAACAGGCUCUGGCGACUGUUUACCAAAAACACAGCUCUCUGCGAACUCGUAAGAGGAGGUAUAGGGAGCGACGCUUGCCCGGUGCCGGAAGGUCAAGGGGAGGGGUGCAAGCCCCGAACCGAAGCCCCGGUGAACGGCGGCCGUAACUAUAACGGUCCUAAGGUAGCGAAAUUCCUUGUCGGGUAAGUUCCGAC